rnacentral:rRNA from 1 species
UACGGAGGGAGCUAGCGUUGUUCGGAAUUAUUGGGCGUAAAGCGCACGUAGGCGGCAUUGCAAGUCGGAUGUGAAAUCCCUCGGCUCAACCGGGAACGACGCAUGAAACUGACAAGCUAGAGUACCAAAGAGGGGGUGGAAUUCCCGGUGUAGCGGUGAAAUGCGUAGAUAAUCUGGAGGAAUACCGGUGGCGAAGGCGGCAUCCUGGACCGGCAUUGACGCUGAGGAGCGAAAGCCAGGGAGCAAACGGG